GUGAACGCUGGCGGUAGGCCUAACACCUGCAAGUCGAACGGCAGCACAGUAAGAGCUUGCUCUUACGGGUGGCGAGUGGCGGACGGGCGAGGAAUACAUCGGAAUCUACUUUUUCGUGGGGGAUAACGUAGGGAAACUUACGCUAAUACCGCAUACGACCUACGGGUGAAAGCAGGGGAUCUUCGGACCUUGCGCGAUUGAAUGAGCCGAUGUCGGAUUAGCUAGUUGGCGGGGUAAAGGCCCACCAAGGCGACGAUCCGUAGCUGGUCUGAGAGGAUGAUCAGCCACACUGGAACUGAGACACGGUCCAGACUCCUACGGGAGGCAGCAGUGGGGAAUAUUGGACAAUGGGCGCAAGCCUGAUCCAGCCAUACCGCGUGGGUGAAGAAGGCCUUCGGGUUGUAAAGCCCCUUUGUUGGGAAAGAAAAGCAGCAGGUUAAUACCCCGCUGUUCUGACGGUACCCAAAGAAUAAGCACCGGCUAACUUCGUG
rnacentral:rRNA from 1 species